CUCAAAGGAAUUCACGGGGGCCCGCACAAGCGGAGGAACAUGUGGUUUAAUUCGAUGAUACGCGAGGAUCCUUACCCGGGCUUAAAUUGCAGAUGAAUUACGGUGAAAGCCGUAAGCCGCAAGGCAUCUGUGAAGGUGCUGCAUGGUUGUCGUCAGCUCGUGCCGUGAGGUGUCGGCUUAAGUGCCAUAACGAGCGCAACCCUUGUUGUCAGUUACUAACAGGUUCCGCUGAGGACUCUGACAAGACUGCCAUCGUAAGAUGUGAGGAAGGUGGGGAUGACGUCAAAUCAGCACGGCCCUUACGUCCGGGGCUACACACGUGUUACAAUGGGGGGUACAGAGGGCCGCUACCACGCGAGUGGAUGCCAAUCCCAAAAACCUCUCUCAGUUCGGACUGGAGUCUGCAACCCGACUCCACGAAGCUGGAUUCGCUAGUAAUCGCGCAUCAGCCACGGCGCGGUGAAUACGUUCCCGGGCCUUGUACACACCGCCCGUCAAGCCAUGGGAGCCGGGGGUACCUGAAGUGCGUAAACGCGAGGAGCGCCCUAGGGUAAAACU
rnacentral:rRNA from 1 species